rnacentral:rRNA from 1 species
AACGAACGCUGGCGGCAGGCUCAACACAUGCAAGUCGAACGCAUCCUUCGGGGUGAGUGGCAGACGGGUGAGUAACGCGUGGGAACGUGCCCUUCAGUUCGGGAUAACCCAGGGAAACUUGGGCUAAUACCGGAUACGUGCGAGAGCAGAAAGAUUUAUCGCUGAAGGAUCGGCCCGCGUCUGAUUAGCUAGUUGGUGGGGUAAUGGCCCACCAAGGCGACGAUCAGUAGCUGGGCUGAGAGGAUGAUCAGCCACAUUGGGACUGAGACACGGCCCAAACUCCUACGGGAGGCAGCAGUGGGGAAUAUUGGACAAUGGGCGCAAGCCUGAUCCAGCCAUGCCGCGUGAGUGAUGAAGGCCUUAGGGUUGUAAAGCUCUUUCGUCCGGGACGAUAAUGACGGUACCGGAAGAAGAAGCCCCGGCUAACUUCGUGCCAGCAGCCGCCGUAA